GUUCAGCUGCGCAAGGAUGCCCUUCCCGGUGAUGGCCUCUCCGAGCAGCGAUGCCUGCCAGCCGUGCAUGCCCAAUACCACCAGUUGCGCUAAAGAGGACUAAUGUCCUUGGGAUGAGGCAGCCUCCACCACGCUGGUAUAAUCCCUACCAUGGCUACCCUUAUAGAUCAUAUGGAGCACCGUACUUCCCCCCAUAUGGUUAUGAGAGGGCUCCUAGAUUCCGUCGUCUUAUGCGCUACAUAGCUUAUCAUGUACAAGGUUAAUGGACGGUAUUUCUCACCGUGACCACUCGGUUAGCCGGUAAGAACUGAGCCACUGAUAAGGACUGAAACUGCUCGCAUGCUCUAUUGUAAGCAGAGUGCUCAUGAUUCAAGGAAGAUAAUUUUCCAUUUUUUUCUGUUGGUUCAACGAAACACACAGAAUGAGAACAUUGGUACACUGCAUGUUGUUAUUUGCGGUUAGUACCAAAACUUUUCUCUUUUCUGCUUUGUAUCCUCUUGUUUUCUUUGACACGUCCUAUAAUCGUUCUUCUCUCUUCUUGCUUAUUAUGUAAAUGCCCAUUCCAAUAUUAGUCAAAAGCUAUUGCAGUUCA